AGUGAACGCUGGCGGUAGGCCUAACACAUGCAAGUCGAACGGCAGCACAGUAAGAGCUUGCUCUUACGGGUGGCGAGUGGCGGACGGGUGAGGAAUACAUCGGAAUCUACUUUUUCGUGGGGGAUAACGUAGGGAAACUUACGCUAAUACCGCAUACGACCUACGGGUGAAAGCAGGGGAUCUUCGGACCUUGCGCGAUUGAAUGAGCCGAUGUCGGAUUAGCUAGUUGGCGGGGUAAAGGCCCACCAAGGCGACGAUCCGUAGCUGGUCUGAGAGGAUGAUCAGCCACACUAGAACUGAGACACGGUCCAGACUACUACGGGAGGCAGCAGUGGGGAAUAUUGGACAAUGGGCGCAAGCCUGAUCCAGCCAUACCGCGUGGGUGAAGAAGGCCUUCGGUUUGUAAAGCCCUUUUGUUGGGAAAGAAAAGCAGCAGGUUAAUACCCCGCUGUUCUGACGGUACCCAAAGAAUAAGCACCGGCUAACUUCGUG
rnacentral:rRNA from 1 species